rnacentral:rRNA from 1 species
UACGAAGGGUGCAAGCGUUACUCGGAAUUACUGGGCGUAAAGCGUGCGUAGGCGGUUCGUUAAGUCUGAUGUGAAAGCCCUGGGCUCAACCUGGGAAUGGCAUUGGAAACUGGCGAUCUAGAGUGCGGUAGAGGGUAGUGGAAUUCCCGGUGUAGCAGUGAAAUGCGUAGAGAUCGGGAGGAACAUCUGUGGCGAAGGCGACUGCCUGGACCAGCACUGACACUGAGGCGCGAAAGCGUGGGGAGCAAACAGG